rnacentral:rRNA from 1 species
CUUAACACAUGCAAGUCGAGGGGCAGCACGGGUAGCAAUACCGGGUGGCGACCGGCGCACGGGUGAGUAACGCGUAUGCAACUUACCUAUCAGAGGGGGAUAACCCGGCGAAAGUCGGACUAAUACCGCAUGAAGCAGGGGCCCCGCAUGGGGAUAUUUGCUAAAGAUUCAUCGCUGAUAGAUAGGCAUGCGUUCCAUUAGGCAGUUGGCGGGGUAACGGCCCACCAAACCGACGAUGGAUAGGGGUUCUGAGAGGAAGGUCCCCCACAUUGGUACUGAGACACGGACCAAACUCCUACGGGAGGCAGCAGUGAGGAGUAUUGGUCAAUGGCCGAGAGGCUGAACCAGCCAAGUCGCGUGAGGGAUGAAGGUUCUAUGGAUCGUAAACCUCUUUUAUAAGGGAAUAAAGUGCGGGACGUGUCCCGUUUUGUAUGUACCUUAUGAAUAAGGAUCGGCUAACUCCGUGCCAGCAGCCGCGGUAAUACGGAGGAUCCGAGCGUUAUCCGGAUUUAUUGGGUUUAAAGGGUGCGUAGGCGGCCUUUUAAGUCAGCGGUGAAAGUCUGUGGCUCAACCAUAGAAUUGCCGUUGAAACUGGGGGGCUUGAGUAUGUUUGAGGCAGGCGGAAUGCGUGGUGUAGCGGUGAAAUGCAUAGAUAUCACGCAGAACCCCGAUCGCGAAGGCAGCCUGCCAAGCCAUGACUGACGCUGAUGCACGAAAGCGUGGGGAUCAAACAGGAUUAGAUACCCUGGUAGUCCACGCAGUAAACGAUGAUCACUAGCUGUUUGCGAUACACAGUAAGCGGCACAGCGAAAGCGUUAAGUGAUCCACCUGGGGAGUACGCCGGCAACGGUGAAACUCAAAGGAAUUGACGGGGGCCCGCACAAGCGGAGGAACAUGUGGUUUAAUUCGAUGAUACGCGAGGAACCUUACCCGGGUUUGAACGCAUUCGGACCGAGGUGGAAACACCUUUUCUAGCAAUAGCCGUUUGCGAGGUGCUGCAUGGUUGUCGUCAGCUCGUGCCGUGAGGUGUCGGCUUAAGUGCCAUAACGAGCGCAACCCUUGCCACUAGUUACUAACAGGUGAUGCUGAGGACUCUGGUGGGACUGCCAGCGUAAGCUGCGAGGAAGGCGGGGAUGACGUCAAAUCAGCACGGCCCUUACAUCCGGGGCGACACACGUGUUACAAUGGCGUGGAUAAAGGGAGGCCACCUGGCGACAGGGAGCGAAUCCCCAAACCACGUCUCAGUUCGGAUCGGAGUCUGCAACCCGACUCCGUGAAGCUGGAUUCGCUAGUAAUCGCGCAUCAGCCAUGGCGCGGUGAAUACGUUCCCGGGCCUUGUACACACCGCCCGUCAAGCCAUGGGAGCCGGGGGUACCUGAAGUCCGUAACCGCGAGGAUCGGCCUAGGGUAAAACUGGUGACUGGGGCUAAGUCAUAACA